UCUAAGAAUCAUUCAGACAGAAGACUCCACUGUGCAGUGUUAGCAGCAGCAGCUAGAAGAAAAGACCUGGCAAGGAAUAUUCUUGACAAAUGUGAUGAAGAGCUGAUGACACCAAAAGACCAGGACAAUGAACUGAGCAGAAGCAUAUGUCUUCAGACACCCCAGUCAGAAAAUCAGAGGAUGUUAAAGGCGGAAGAGCCCUCAGUAUCCCCAAGCUGAAGGGAGCAGGAUGCAGUUCAGAUACCAUCUCUGCCUGUUAGCAGCUGAGACUUUGGAGCUGGAUCUGUGUGGAUGUCUGAGGUUUCUAGAAGACUCGCCAGAGGAUGAAUGGGGUGUCGUAGGAGCAGGUGUCAGAUGAUGAUUUCCUGGAUUCUCUGUAAAGCAUUUGGCCAUUUCUCAUGGCCAUAUUCUAGAAAGUUCCCAGAGAGGAUUUGCCACGCGUGGAUCUCAUGGAAAUAAGUGGGAGAGUUCCAGGGAUGGCUUCUGGCUGAGCAGACGCUCCUAACAUGCAGCCCUUUAAUCUCUUUCUCAUAUUUUUUCUCUCGUUCCAUCAAGCCAACCAUUGCUCUCCCACAAAAUAAAGUGUGAAUAUCCACUGUCUUUAUUUUCUUGGAACCCGAGGAGAGUCGGGCUCACCUGCUCACUCUGGCCGCUGUCCUGCACCCAUCCUGUCAGGACUGGGCCAGGUACCACUUCCUCCUGCAUCGCCUGAGCUCUGGCUCCAGCCCAGGCCGUGUGCAUGGGUCACACCCACCCAAUGAUGCUUUGUUGUCUACCUGCAUGUAUAUAUCUACCUGUACAUACAGAAAUGUACAUAAUACACACAAAUGCAUAUAAAAUUGCGGGAACUAAAGCUGAAGCCCUCCCUUUUCCCUGGCAGACCCGAGACCAUUAUGCAAGUCGUGUGUCAUUUUCCAGCCCUUGAUCUCCAGACCUCUCCGUGGUAUUGCCUGCUGGCCACCCUCGGACCUCAGGAUGUCACUCCUAGCUGUCUUCAAACCCCCUGGAAUCCCAGCUUCUUCAUUCUCUUUUCCUCUUUACUUGCCCAAUCCUUAAAGAUUGGUGCUCCCAAAGGCCUAACCUUGGCUGGUUCUGCUCUCCGCAUGUACUUUCUCACCAUAGGAUUUUAUCCACUCUCCCUACUUUAGGGAGCCCUGGCUCCUCCUUAUAGUUUUUCCUCUUGUCCCCUGCGACAUUGUCCUACCAUCAAAACUCCAACCAAGCUAUCAUACAAUCACCUCCCCAUCACUAUUUCACUGGGUUAAGCUUACUAAUACGUAUGAAUGUCUGUCCAAUGCCACACAAUCUGUCAGGUGUUUUAUGUACAUUAUUUCACAAGCCUUACAACAAUCAAGUAAAAAAGAUCCUAUAAAUUCCCAUUCAGAUAGGCAAACUGAACUCACAGCGAUUUAGCUCAUAGCCUAGAAUUUAAAUUUGGUCAAGAAGGGUCUUUACCUGGCAUCGAGGUCUCAAGCUCCAAAGAGCAGGCUCCCCUGUAGCUCACCAUUAGCCUCCCACCCCCCAGUCCCGACACAUUUGCUUCUUCUGCCCAGUGAGGGCCUCCAGACACUCCCUGCUUAGGGCACCAUGGGCCCUAAGAUAGAUAGAAUUACUUUUUCCAGAAAUGAGUAUGACCAUGUCUCUUCUUUUCUAGAAGCCUCUGUUGACUAUACUCCAUAAUUAAGUCCUUACUAGCUGGUUUGGCCAGUGGUUACAAGGCUUGUCCAAACAUUGGAAUCACCUGGGGAGUUUUGAAAACCACUGAUGCCUGCUUCCCACCCCCAGAGGAUGUGAAUUCAUUGGUCCGCAAAGUAGCCGGGUUUUGAUGUUUGUUUCAUAAAAUCCCAGGUCAUUCUAAUGGACAAGUAAGUUUGGAAACCGCUGAGUUAGGAACCAAUGGCCCUUCCGUUUUGACUCCUUCCUAACUCUUCAGCAACCAUGGAUCUCCCCAGCUUCAAACCCUGCUGUGGAUUUAACCAUCCAGCUCUCUGUCCUGGGGUCUUUUUUCUCUUUGACCAACUUCUACAUCCUUCGAUAUUCAGCUCAAAUGUGCCUCUGAGCUUCUCUGCCCUGACCACCAUUCUGCCCUUUGCUCUCGCCACCAGCCACUCACACUCCCCUGUAAUCUAGCUGUUUACCCAGCAGUUUCCCCAGACGUGUGCAGGUAAGGGUGGAUACUCCUGCUCACCUCUUUGUAUCUCCUUCCAGAACACAGUGCUCCGGAGAUACUCUGUGCAUGAAUGGAUGGAUGAGCGAGUCAGUAAAUACCUAGAUAGGAAGUGGAAGGGUCAUUUGUAAAGAUGUGGACAGACCUAGAGGCUGUCAUACAGAGUAAGUUAGAAAGAGAAAAACAAACGUCGUAUAUUAAUGCAUAUCUGUGGAAUCUAGAAAAAUGGUACAGAUGAUCCUAUUUGCAAAGUACAGACAGAGACACAGUCAUAGAGAACAAACGUAAGAACACCAAGGGGGGUGGGGGUGGGAUGAACUGGGAGAUUGGGACUGACAUAUAUGCACUACUGAUCCCAUAUAUAAAAUAAAUAAGGAGAGCCUACUGUAGCACUCAGGGAACCCUACGCAGGAGUCUGUGCUCACUAAGUGGGAAGAAAACCCAAGGAGGAGGGGAUGUAUGUAAAUGUACCCAGGCCGCACUAGCGGUGAAGAACUCACCUGCCAAUGCAGGAGA